rnacentral:rRNA from 1 species
AGAGAGAGACAUGCGCGCAUAUCAAUAAGCGGAGGAAAAGAAACUAACAUAGGAUUCCCUCAGUAACGGCGAGUGAAGCGGGAAGAGCUCAAAUUUGAAAUCUUCAAGGUUUUACCUUGACGAAUUGUAGUUUAAAGAAGUGUUUUCUGCUGAAGUUUUGGUAAAAGUUCUUUGGAAUAGGACAUCAUAGAGGGUGAGAAUCCCGUAUUUGACCAUUAUUUUCAGCUUUGUGAUACACUUUCAAAGAGUCGGAUUGUUUGGGAAUGCAGUCCAAAAUGGGUGGUAAAUUUCAUCUAAAGCUAAAUAUUGGCGAGAGACCGAUAGCGAACAAGUACCGUGAGGGAAAGAUGAAAAGAACUUUGAAAAGAGAGUUAAACAGUACGUGAAAUUGUCAAAAGGGAAGCGUUUGACACCAGUGUUGUUUUCUCGAAAAUCAAUUAAAAAUGGCUCGAUUUUGUAUUGCUGAGACCUUAAAAGCUCACUGUACAUUUUUCGUGUCUUUUUUAAUGCACUUUUCGUUUAAGCAAGUCAACAUCAGUUUCUUUUGUUGUAAAAGGGUCAUUGGAAGGUGGCUUUCUUUUCGGAGAAAGUGUUUAUAGCCUUUGGCCUCUGCAAUCGGAGAGACUGAGGUCUGCAGCGUAGACUCUUCGGGGUUAAAUACAUUUGUGCUAAGUUAUAGCUUUUUAUAGACAACUUGUUGACUAUAAUUAGUCUUGUAGCUUACUCGCUUAUGCUAUUUUACCUACGCUUAGGAUGUUGAAGAUGUAGCACAUCAU